GUGGGGAAUUUUGGACAAUGGGCGAAAGCCUGAUCCAGCCAUGCCGCGUGCAGGAUGAAGGCCUUCGGGUUGUAAACUGCUUUUGUACGGAACGAAAAGACUCCUUCUAAUAAAGGGGGUCCAUGACGGUACCGUAAGAAUAAGCACCGGCUAACUACGUGCCAGCAGCCGCGGUAAUACGUAGGGUGCAAGCGUUAAUCGGAAUUACUGGGCGUAAAGCGUGCGCAGGCGGUUUUGUAAGACAGAUGUGAAAUCCCCGGGCUCAACCUGGGAACUGCAUUUGUGACUGUAUAGCUAGAGUACGGUAGAGGGGGAUGGAAUUCCGCGUGUAGCAGUGAAAUGCGUAGAUAUGCGGAGGAACACCGAUGGCGAAGGCAAUCCCCUGGACCUGUACUGACGCUCAUGCACGAAAGCGUGGGGAGCAAACAGGAUUAGAUACCCCAGUAGUCC
rnacentral:rRNA from 1 species